rnacentral:rRNA from 1 species
GCACAAGCGGUGGAGCAUGUGGUUUAAUUCGACGCAACGCGCAGAACCUUACCAGCCCUUGACAUCCCGGUCGCGGUUUCCAGAGAUGGAUACCUUCAGUUCGGCUGGACCGGAGACAGGUGCUGCAUGGCUGUCGUCAGCUCGUGUCGUGAGAUGUUGGGUUAAGUCCCGCAACGAGCGCAACCCCCGUCUUUAGUUGCUACCAUUUAGUUGAGCACUCUAAAGAGACUGCCGGUGAUAAGCCGCGAGGAAGGUGGGGAUGACGUCAAGUCCUCAUGGCCCUUACGGGCUGGGCUACACACGUGCUACAUUGGCGCAUACAGAGGGCUGCGAUACCGCGAGGUGGAGCGAAUCCCUUAAAGUGCGUCUCGGUUCGGAUUGCAGGCUGAAAUUCGCCUGCAUGAAGGCGGAGUUGCUAGUAAUCGCGGAUCAGCAUUGCCGCGGUGAAUACGUUCCCGGGC